rnacentral:lncRNA from 1 species
GGGCCUUGAGAUAUACUUGUGGAUUUGGUUUAUUUUACCCUUUUGAGUCUGUAAGCCUAAGAAUAUGUCUUAUUCUUCUAGAAAAGGAAAAAAGAGAACAAAAUGAAGAAAAAGAAAGAAAAGAAGAAAAAGAGAGAGAAAACAGGACCUGUCCAGCUUUCCAAGUUCUUUAAAAACAAAAAGAAGAAUGAAAACUACAGCAUGAUAACCGGAAAGAAAAUUAAGAUGAAAAUUAAGAAGACUAAGGAAGAUAUAGAGAGAGACCGGAACCGUGCGCAGCUCCUGGAAUUUCUGAACUCUGCCUUGUAACGGGAAGAGUGCUGGCCAAGGACUUGGAGAUACACCAAGUCAAUGAUCAUCAUGCCUAGCAAAACACUAAAGGGAAACUCAGGGAAAAGGAUGCCAAGUUCGACAAGACCAGACCCUCCUGCUGAGAAGACAAUCAGGAUGUCCUUUUUUAAUGGCAAAAUGAAGAGUAGCUAAUAACUUGCUAAUGAAGAUCCAUGUCCUCCUUUUGAGAUCCUAAGGUAAUAGCCAGGCUGUGGUGUUUUAGAAAAGCCCAGGAGUGUGUCAUUGACAAUGAUAAGAAAUGACACACUGAAGUCAAAUAAUGUAAUUUCUAUCCUAACUGCAUGCAGAAUGCACUGUUAAUUUCAAAUGUCUUAAUUUUUCUAGUAGUUUACCCAGAGUAUUUGUAAAUGUCUGUUUGAAAGAUGAGGUGUUUCUUAUAUGUAUAUUUUUUUUCUGGUAGUGGUUAUACUUGUCCUAAACAGCAAAAUGACCUCUGUAAAUAGAACAUGCUUUUACAUAAAUGAUUUUUUUGAAAGUUCACUAACUAAUAUAUUACUUUCUUUCAGAGUUUGAGAUAGGAUCUUUCUCUGGACAGUUUAUUGCUCUCUCUCACUAGAAAAUGUAAAAGCAAAAUACUCUAGAGCAAUAACAGUAGCGAAUGAUUUGUAUCCUAAAAUAGAAGCAGAAAAGGUCUCUGAUUUUGUUUAUCUCAAUCAGCUGUUCAAAGGCAGCUCACAAUAAAUAGUUUACCCCCCCCA